rnacentral:rRNA from 1 species
AACGAACGCUGGCGGCAGGCCUAACACAUGCAAGUCGAGCGGACCUUUCGGGGUCAGCGGCGGACGGGUGAGUAACGCGUGGGAAUAUGCCCUUCUCUACGGAAUAGACCUGGGAAACUGGGGGUAAUACCGUAUACGCCCUUUGGGGGAAAGAUUUAUCGGGGAAGGAUUAGCCCGCGUUGGAUUAGGUAGUUGGUGGGGUAAUGGCCUACCAAGCCGACGAUCCAUAGCUGGUUUGAGAGGAUGAUCAGCCACACUGGGACUGAGACACGGCCCAGACUCCUACGGGAGGCAGCAGUGGGGAAUCUUAGACAAUGGGGGCAACCCUGAUCUAGCCAUGCCGCGUGAGUGAUGAAGGCCUUAGGGUUGUAAAGCUCUUUCAGCUGGGAAGAUAAUGACGGUACCAGCAGAAGAAGCCCCGGCUAACUCCGUG